AGAAAAGCAAAGAAAAGGAGCAGUAAAAGAGGCCGGUGGCGCAUAGAGAGCUGACCCGCAGGCUGAAAGGUCAGUCGUUCACCACUCUUUGAAGGUCACCUUGGAGCUUUGUUUUAGAAAUAGCGCAAGCUAAAGUAUAAAGCAACGGUUCUUCCGUUAUCAAGAAAAGUCAUGUACGUGACUUGCUGAGUCUGUAUUUCGCGAGGAAUACAGAAAAGUUGAGUGGUACCGCGAAAAACUCGCCUCAACA
rnacentral:ncRNA from 1 species